CGUCCUCACACUGCUCCUCUGCCGCCAUGGGGUGGUCUUUGAUGAUCAGCUGCUGAAUGGACCCCUGGGGACACACUUGAUGUCAUCAGUGUUUGAACCUGACAAGGAGUGGUCAAGUGGUCAAGCAGAAGCUACCAAAAGUGCCUUAUUGCAGGUCAACUUGCCAAGGGACAUUUCUGUGUUCUAGCCGUCCAUAGCGUUUCUACUCGUAUAGAUUCUUCAUUCAUUCCUCCAAGCAACGUUUAUUUUGAAUUCACCAAAACGUCACCGUGGAGUUAUUGAGUGUGUUUAGCUGAUUGGAGAGCUAGCUUGCGCAGCUAGCGGGUCCAUGACCAUGACUUCUGUUUUGUUUGAUCAGCUGUUUUACUGCCCUGUUACAGACAGCGUUUGGAAACAAUUAAGGUGUGGACGUGAUGACUACGGUGGCCGGGGUCUGGUCCCACACUGCUGUCCCAGGUAGGUCUGAGGGUGUGGGUGCAGGAGCAGAGGUGCUCCUGGGACUUGCCCAGAUGAAAGUCCACCACUGAGCGUGUACACAUGUGGACCACAGCAGCAAGAGGACCAGACUGACAUCCAGACUUGCCAUUCUCCUCUCCUCCAGGAAACACAAGUGCAAAGGUGUAGCUGCGCACAUUGUGCCAGAAUGUUCCAUUGCACAAACAGAGGAACCCGUUCAUGUUGACCGCCUCCUAAAGCCCUGGUCCACUUAAAUCUACUUAAAUAAGCCACAUAACAAUGACACAAGGUGUUGUCAAAGUUGGAAUUGCAAGAAAAUACAUAUGAAGAUAUUCAACACUCUACUGCCAUCUGGCGGCUAAAGUGGAUAGUACAACCCCCCAAUUUGUCACGUUUCAUGUGUCAGGUAAACGGUGACAAAUGGGGGCCAUAUAUAUCGCCUU